CAGUAGCCACGGGAAUACAGAGGGUGCGAGCGUUAAUCGGAUUUACUGGGCGUAAAGCGUGCGUAGGCGGCUUCUUAAGUCGGAUGUGAAUCCCUGAGCUUAACUUAGGAAUUGCAUUCGAUACUGGGAAGCUAGAGUAUGGGAGAGGAUGGUAGAAUUCCAGGUGUAGCGGUGAAAUGCGUAGAGAUCUGGAGGAAUACCGAUGGCGAAGGCAGCCAUCUGGCCUAAUACUGACGCUGAGGUACGAAAGCAUGGGGAGCAAACAGGAUUAAAUACCCCCGUAGUCCCUGUCUCUUAUACA
rnacentral:rRNA from 1 species